GAUGAACGCUGGCGGCGUGCCUAAUACAUGCAAGUCGAGCGAAUGGAUUAAGAGCUUGCUCUUAUGAAGUUAGCGGCGGACGGGUGAGUAACACGUGGGUAACCUGCCCAUAAGACUGGGAUAACUCCGGGAAACCGGGGCUAAUACCGGAUAAUAUUUUGAACUGCAUGGUUCAAAAUUGAAAGGCGGCUUCGGCUGUCACUUAUGGAUGGACCCGCGUCGCAUUAGCUAGUUGGUGAGGUAACGGCUCACAAAGGCAACGAUGAGUAGCCGACCUGAGAGGGUGAUCGGCCACACUGGGACUGAGACACGGCCCAGACUCCUACGGGAGGCAGCAGUAGGGAAUCUUCCGCAAUGGACGAAAGUCUGACGGAGCAACGCCGCGUGAGUGAUGAAGGCUUUCGGGUCGUAAAACUCUGUUGUUAGGGAAGAACAAGUGCUAGUUGAAUAAGCUGGCACCUUGACGGUACCUAACCAGAAAGCCACGGCUAACUACGUGCCAGCAGCCGCGGUAA
rnacentral:rRNA from 1 species